rnacentral:tRNA from 1 species
GGAUGUAGCUCAGAGGUAGAGCACGUGCUUAUUGUGCCUGAGACUCUGGGUUCAAUCCCCAGCACCA